GGAGAGGUGUCUGAGCGGUUGAAGGUGCCGCUCUCGAAAAGCGGUGUUGCCGAAAGGUAACCGAGGGUUCGAAUCCCUCCCUCUCCG
rnacentral:tRNA from 1 species